rnacentral:tRNA from 1 species
CAGAAUAUAGCUCAGUAGUAGAGUGACUGCUUAGCAUGCAAGAAAUGCUGGGUUCAAUCCCCAGUAUCUUCA